rnacentral:rRNA from 1 species
UACGUAGGGGGCAAGCGUUGUCCGGAAUCAUUGGGCGUAAAGAGCGUGUAGGCGGCCAGAUAAGUCCGCUGUGAAAUCUCGAGGCUCAACUUCGAGCUGUCGGUGGAAACUGUCUGGCUAGAGUCCGGAAGAGGGGAAUGGAAUUCCUGGUGUAGCGGUGAAAUGCGUAGAUAUCAAGAGGAACACCUGCGGCGAAGGCGGGUUGCUGGGCUGACACUGACGCUGAGGCGCGAAAGCUAGGGGAGCGAACGGG